CAUGAAGCUCGCCCUAAGAUAAGUUCUCCCAAUCCGCUUCGGCGGAUAAGAAGGGCAGUCGAAGACUACGACUUUGAUAGGCUGGAGGUAGAAGCGCAGCAAUGCGUGAAGCUGACCAGUACUAAUCGCCCGUUCGGCUUAAUCAUAAAAC
rnacentral:rRNA from 1 species